UAAACGCGAAGGAACCUUACCCAGACUUGACAUGCAGAAGACAGCUUUAGAGAUAGAGUGUUCCUUAGGGACUUCUGCACAGGUGCUGCAUGGCUGUCGUCAGCUCGUGCCGUGAGGUGUUGGGUUAAGUCCCGCAACGAGCGCAACCCUUAUCAUUAGUUGCCAACACGUAAUGGUGGGAACUCUAAUGAGACUGCCUGGGUUAACCAGGAGGAAGGUGAGGAUGACGUCAAGUCCGCAUGGCCCUUAUGUCUGGGGCUACACACGUGCUACAAUGGUCGGUACAGAAGGCAGCGAAGCCGUGAGGUGAAGCAAAUCCCAAAAAGCCGAUCCCAGUUCAGAUUGUAGUCUGCAACUCGACUACAUGAAGAUGGAAUUGCUAGUAAUGGCGAGUCAGCA
rnacentral:rRNA from 1 species